rnacentral:rRNA from 1 species
UACGUAGGGUGCGAGCGUUGUCCGGAAUUAUUGGGCGUAAAGGGCUCGUAGGCGGUCUGUCACGUCGGGAGUGAAAACUCAGGGCUUAACCCUGAGCCUGCUUCCGAUACGGGCAGACUAGAGGUAUGCAGGGGAGAACGGAAUUCCUGGUGUAGCGGUGAAAUGCGCAGAUAUCAGGAGGAACACCGGUGGCGAAGGCGGUUCUCUGGGCAUUACCUGACGCUGAGGAGCGAAAGUGUGGGGAGCGAAGCAGG